CAGUGGCGAACGGGUGAGUAACACGUGGGCAAUCUGCCCUGCACUNUGGGACAAGCCCUGGAAACGGGGUCUAAUACCGGAUAUGACCUUCCUCCGCAUGGGGGUUGGUGUAAAGCUCCGGCGGUGCAGGAUGAGCCCGCGGCCUAUCAGCUUGUUGGUGGGGUAAUGGCCUACCAAGGCGACGACGGGUAGCCGGCCUGAGAGGGCGACCGGCCACACUGGGACUGAGACACGGCCCAGACUCCUACGGGAGGCAGCAGUGGGGAAUAUUGCACAAUGGGCGAAAGCCUGAUGCAGCGACGCCGCGUGAGGGAUGACGGCCUUCGGGUUGUAAACCUCUUUCAGCAGGGAAGAAGCGCAAGUGACGGUACCUGCAGAAGAAGCACCGGCUAACUACGUGCCAGCAGCCGCGGUAAUACGUAGGGUGCGAGCGUUGUCCGGAAUUAUUGGGCGUAAAGAGCUCGUAGGCGGCCUGUCGCGUCGGAUGUGAAAGCCCGGGGCUUAACCCCGGGUCUGCAUUCGAUACGGGCAGGCUAGAGUGUGGUAGGGGAGAUCGGAAUUCCU
rnacentral:rRNA from 1 species